UUUGAAGGUGGAGAAGGUGAAGGGUAUAAACUGCUUCCAUUUGGUGCUGGAAGGCGGGCUUGUCCUGGGGCUGGUCUAGCCAAGCGAAUCAUAGGCCUGACACUAGGUGUCUUGAUUCAGUGCUUCGAGUGGGAUAGAGUUAGCAAAGAGGAGAUUAAUCUGACAGAAGGAACAGGGCUUACCAUUCCCAAAGCUGAACCACUGGAGGCGUUAUGCAGACCUCGCCAAUCCAUGGUCAACCUCCUCUCUUCCAUGUGAGUUUGAGUGGGAUAGAGUUAGCAAAGAGGAGAUUAACUUGACAGAGGGAACAGGGCUUCCCAUGCCCAAAGCUGAACCACUGGAGGCGUUAUGCAGACCUCGCCAAUCCAUGGUCAACCUCCUCUCUUCUAUGUGAAGCAUAUGGAUGAUUUUCCUCAAGUAUGCUCUCUUUGUUUGCUCUGAGACAUUCUAUAACUAAGGGAAUACUUUUUUCAUAGCAUCCACAAUAAUAUAUAUAAGCAAUG
rnacentral:lncRNA from 1 species